rnacentral:rRNA from 1 species
GAUGAACGCUGGCGGCGUGCCUAAUACAUGCAAGUCGAGCGAACGGACGAGAAGCUUGCUUCUCUGAUGUUAGCGGCGGACGGGUGAGUAACACGUGGAUAACCUACCUAUAAGACUGGGAUAACUUCGGGAAACCGGAGCUAAUACCGGCUAAUAUUUUGAACCGCAUGGUUCAAAAGUGAAAGACGGUCUUGCUGUCACUUAUAGAUGGAUCCGCGCUGCAUUAGCUAGUUGGUAAGGUAACGGCUUACCAAGGCAACGAUGCAUAGCCGACCUGAGAGGGUGAUCGGCCACACUGGAACUGAGACACGGUCCAGACUCCUACGGGAGGCAGCAGUAGGGAAUCUUCGGCAAUGGGCGAAAGCCUGACGGAGCAACGCCGCGUGAGUGAUGAAGGUCUUCGGAUCGUAAAACUCUGUUAUUAGGGAAGAACAUAUGUGUAAGUAACUGUGCACAUCUUGACGGUACCUAAUCAGAAAGCCACGGCUAACUACGUG